CAUUAGCCCAGAUGGGAGUGACAUCCUUUUGUACCGGGGUUCGGGACAAAAGAUACAACGGACAGCUGGAAACAGC
rfam:Flavobacterium spartansii strain MST NODE_3_length_580379_cov_49.0781, whole genome shotgun sequence.